rnacentral:rRNA from 1 species
GACGAACGCUGGCGGCGUGCCUAAUACAUACAAGUCGAACGCACUCUCGUUUAGAUUGAAGGAGCUUGCUCCUGAUUGAUAAACAUUUGAGUGAGUGGCGGACGGGUGAGUAACACGUGGGUAACCUGCCCUAAAGUGGGGGAUAACAUUUGGAAACAGAUGCUAAUACCGCAUAAAACCUAACACCGCAUGGUGUAGGGUUGAAAGAUGGUUUCGGCUAUCACUUUAGGAUGGACCCGCGGUGCAUUAGUUAGUUGGUGAGGUAAAGGCUCACCAAGACCGUGAUGCAUAGCCGACCUGAGAGGGUAAUCGGCCACACUGGGACUGAGACACGGCCCAGACUCCUACGGGAGGCAGCAGUAGGGAAUCUUCCACAAUGGACGAAAGUACUGAUGGAGCAACGCCGCGUGAGUGAAGAAGGUUUACGG